rnacentral:rRNA from 1 species
GACGUAGGAUGCGAGCGUUGUCCGGAUUUAUUGGGCGUAAAGAGUUCGUAGGCGGUUCGUUAAGUCUGAUGUUAAAGACUGGGGCCCAACCCUGGGAGUGCAUUGGAUACUGGCGGACUGGAGUGCAGUAGAGGCAAGCGGAAUUCCAGGUGUAGCGGUGAAAUGCGCAGAGAUCGGGAGGAACACCCGUAGCGAAGGCGGCGCUCUGGGCCGGUACUGACGCUGAGGAGCGAAAGCGUGGGGAGCAAACAGG